UACAGAGGUGGCAAGCGUUAUCCGGAAUUACUGGGCGUAAAGGGCGCGUAGGCGGCCACCGCAAGUCGACUGUGAAAUCUCCGGGCUUAACUCGGAAAGGUCAGCCGAUACUGCGGGGCUAGAGUGCAGAAGGGGCAACUGGAAUUCUCGGUGUAGCGGUGAAAUGCGUAGAUAUCGAGAGGAACACCUGCGGCGAAGGCGGGUUGCUGGGCUGACACUGACGCUGAUUGUGCGAAAGCUAGGGGAGCGAACGGG
rnacentral:rRNA from 1 species